rnacentral:rRNA from 14 species
AUUUGUAUUGUAAAUGAAAGGUGAAAAGAAUUCCGCAAGGUAAGUGAAAUAGUGUAUAUUGGCCUAUAGCAAUAAGUGGUUGUU